AUGGCACAUAGCAAUACAAUAGGUUAUGAUCCAAAUCUGGAGAGGAGCAAGAUCAGAUAAUAAAGUCAUACAUUGGUUAUACUAAGUACAAA